rnacentral:rRNA from 1 species
GAACGGCAGCACAGGUAGCAAUACCGGGUGGCGAGUGGCGGACGGGUGAGUAAUGAAACGGGAUCUACCCUGACGUGGGGGAUAACCUCGGGAAACCGGGACUAAUACCGCAUACGUCCUACGGGAGAAAGCGGGGGACCUUCGGGCCUCGCGCGGCAGGACGAACCGAUGUGCGAUUAGCUAGUUGGCGGGGUAAUGGCCCACCAAGGCGACGAUCGCUAGCUGGUCUGAGAGGAUGAUCAGCCACACUGGGACUGAGACACGGCCCAGACUCCUACGGGAGGCAGCAGUGGGGAUUUUUGGACAAUGGGCGCAAGCCUGAUCCAGCAAUGCCGCUUGUGUGAAGAAGGCCUUCCCCCCCGUCAAGCACUUUUAUCAGGAGCGAAAUACUACCGACUAAUAUUCGGUGGGGCUGACGGUACCUGAGGAAUAAGCACCGGCUAACUUCGUGCCAGCAGCCGCGGUAAUACGAAGGGUGCAAGCGUUAAUCGGAAUUACUGGGCGUAAAGGGUGCGUAGGCGGUUAUUUAAGUCUGCCGUGAAAUCCCCGGGCUCAACCUGGGAAUGGCGGUGGAUACUGGAUAGCUAGAGUGUGUCAGAGGAUGGUGGAAUUCCCGGUGUAGCGGUGAAAUGCGUAGAGAUCGGGAGGAACAUCAGUGGCGAAGGCGGCCAUCUG